rnacentral:rRNA from 1 species
CCAUCAUUUAAAGAAAGCGUAAUAGCUCACUGGUCGAGUCGGCCUGCGCGGAAGAUGUAACGGGGCUAAACCAUGCACCGAAGCUGCGGCAGCGACGCUUAUGCGUUGUUGGGUAGGGGAGCGUUCUGUAAGCCUGCGAAGGUGUGCUGUGAGGCAUGCUGGAGGUAUCAGAAGUGCGAAUGCUGACAUAAGUAACGAUAAAGCGGGUGAAAAGCCCGCUCGCCGGAAGACCAAGGGUUCCUGUCCAACGUUAAUCGGGGCAGGGUGAGUCGACCCCUAAGGCGAGGCCGAAAGGCGUAGUCGAUGGGAAACAGGUUAAUAUUCCUGUACUUGGUGUUACUGCGAAGGGGGGACGGAGAAGGCUAUGUUGGCCGGGCGACGGUUGUCCCGGUUUAAGCGUGUAGGCUGGUUUUCCAGGCAAAUCCGGAAAAUCAAGGCUGAGGCGUGAUGACGAGGCACUACGGUGCUGAAGCAACAAAUGCCCUGCUUCCAGGAAAAGCCUCUAAGCAUCAGGUAACAUCAAAUCGUACCCCAAACCGACACAGGUGGUCAGGUAGAGAAUACCAAGGCGCUUGAGAGAACUCGGGUGAAGGAACUAGGCAAAAUGGUGCCGUAACUUCGGGAGAAGGCACGC